rnacentral:rRNA from 1 species
AUUGAACGCUGGCGGCAGGCCUAACACAUGCAAGUCGAAUGGUAACAGGAAACAGCUUGCUGUUUCGCUGACGAGUGGCGGACGGGUGAGUAAUGUCUGGGAAACUGCCUGAUUGAGGGGGAUAACUACUGGAAACGGUAGCUAAUACCGCAUAACGUCGCAAGACCAAAGAGGGGGACCUUCGGGCCUCUUGCCCUCAGAUGUGCCCAGAUGGGAUUAGCUAGUAGGUGGGGUAACGGCUCACCUAGGCGACGAUCCCUAGCUGGUCUGAGAGGAUGACCAGCCACACUGGAACUGAGACACGGUCCAGACUCCUACGGGAGGCAGCAGUGGGGAAUAUUGCACAAAGGGCGCAAGCCUGAUGCAGCCAUGCCGCGUGUAUGAAGAAGGCCUUCGGGUUGUAAAGUACUUUCAGCGGGGAGGAAGGGAGUAAAGUUAAUACCUUUGCUCAUUGACGUUACCCGCAGAAGAAGCACCGGCUAACUCCGUG